AUUCUUUGAAGUCCAUGCUUUCAUUGGAGAGUAUCUGAUUUUAAACUAGUUCAUGUUCUAGUUUUUAUGCUUGUAGAAAUGUUGUUGGUUUCUUUUCUUUAGGCUUCAGAUUUCAAUUUUUGAGUUGGGAUUUUUGUGGUUUGGGUUUAGCGCAGAGAACUGAUGCUAAAAUAGAAAUGAAUGUUUGAUAACAGUGGAAAUUAAAAUUAAGGGCUUUCACCUCUCUAAUGGAUUUCUUUUUAAAAAUUUUGGGGGCAAUGGCAAUUCCAAUUAGCUGAGAAAGAAACAGAGCGAGCAAGCUAUGCACGAUAGAGCUCUCAGUUCCUCCCUCCCAUACUAGGCAUUGAUGGUGACUCGAAUACAAGGAUUCAUAGUUCCAAACCCUGUUUCAGUUUCCUUGCUUCGUCACUUCCCCUAUAAAAUUGCCCUCAAGUUUCAAAAGUACUUAUCUGGUAGUGUGCGUAGAUUGAAUUUCGCUUCCUUUAGUAAGGCAGCGAUUGCUCAAUAUCUCAAUGAAUUCCCUGCUGAAGAACAUGAUGAAAGAGAUGCAAUCGACUUGUCCAGGUGCAUAAAGGGACUUGAUUUUCUUAAUUUGAUGGAACAGCGUGGAAUACACGCAAAUCAUCAGACUUACCUCUGGCUCUUACAAGGAUGUGUCAAUUCUGGGUCUUUAAUAGAUGCUCAGAAGCUUCAUGGGAGGAUCUUGAAGCUUGGUUUCAAUGGGGAGCAUGCAAUUAGUAGCCGACUUAUCAAUGUUUAUGCUGCUCUUGGUGAUUUAGAUGAUGCAGUUAAGCUUUUUGACAAUUUGUCUGAUACAAGUGUAUCUACCUGGAAUUUAUUAAUCUCUGGUUUUGUUGGAAUGAAAUUGACCAGUCAAGUGUUGGGUCUAUUUUCACGAAUGCUAGAAGAAAAUGUAAUCCCAGAUGAAAUCACAUUUGCACAUGUUCUAAGGGCAUGCAUUGGUGAUAAAGUUAGCUUCUGGUAUGUCGAACAGAUUCAUGCUAAGAUUAUUCAUCUUGGUUUUGGUUCAAGUCCCCGUGUUUGUAAUCCUUUAAUUGAUUUGUAUUCGAAGAGUGGGUUAGUGGAUUCUGCUAAACUUGUCUUUGAAAAAUUGUCUUCGAGGGAUAGUGUUUCUUGGGUUGCUAUAGUAUCCGGUUUAUCUCAAAAUGGAUAUGAAGAAGAAGCAAUCCUCUUAUUCCAUGAGAUGCACAGAUCAGGAAUAAUUCCUACUCCAUAUAUCUUCUCAAGUGUUAUAAGUGCCAGCACCAAAAUAGAGUUAUUCAAGCUGGGAGAGCAGCUUCAUGCCCUUAUUAAUAAAUGGGCAUUUGCAUCUGAAACUUUUGUGUGUAAUGCACUCGUCACAUUGUAUUCCCGCUGUGAGGACUUUAUAUCUGCUGAACAACUUUUCAGCAAAAUGCAGUGCAAGGAUGAAGUUUCAUAUAAUUCGCUCAUCUCAGGGCUUGCUCAGCAUGGAUUCAGCGAGAGAGCUCUCCAAUUAUUUGAGAAAAUGCAGCUUGAUUAUUUGAAACCUGACUGUGUUACUGUUGCAAGCCUCGUGAGUGCUUGUGCGUCAGUAGGGGCUCUUCAUAAGGGACAACUACUCCACUCGUAUGCGAUAAAGGCUGGAAUCUCUUCAGAUGUUAUUGUUGAAGGUUCUCUGCUUGACCUUUAUGUAAAAUGUUCUGAUGUAGAAACUGCCCAUGAAUUCUUCCUUGCAACGCAGAAGGAAAACAUUGUUUUAUGGAACGUGAUGCUAGUGGCUUACGGGCAGAUAGGCGAUCUGAGGGAGUCAUUUCGGAUAUUCUCGAAGAUGCAGAUUCAAGGCUUGAGACCUAAUCAAUACACCUAUCCAAGUAUAUUGAGAACCUGCACAUCCGUGGGAGCUUUGGAUCUGGGGGAGCAGAUCCAUACCCAAGUCAUAAAGACUGGUUUUCAGCCAAAUGUAUAUGUUUGUAGUGUGCUUAUAGAUAUGUAUGCUAAGCAUGGAAAAUUGGAUACUGCUAACAAGAUUCUCAGACGACUCAAAGAGGAAGAUGUUGUCUCUUGGACAGCUAUGAUUGCUGGGUACACCCAGCAUGAUCUGUUUGUUGAAGCCUUUAAACUUUUUGCAGAAAUGGAAGACCAAGGGAUCCGAUCAGACAACAUAGGAUUUUCAAGUGCAAUAAGUGCAUGUGCUGGAAUCCAAGCACUCAAUCAAGGACAACAAAUUCAUGCUCAAUCAAUUGUCUCUGGUUAUAUGCUGGAUCUUUCAAUUGGAAAUGCACUCAUUUGUCUUUAUGCUAGAUGUGGUAUGAUUAAAGAUGCUUACUUAGCAUUUGAAAAAAUUGAAGCUAAAGAUAAUAUUUCCUGGAACGGAUUGAUAUCAGGAUUUGCGCAGAGUGGGCACUGUGAGGAAGCACUCGAGGUAUUCUCUCGAAUGAAUCAAGCUGGAGUCGAACCCAAUAUGUUCACGUUUGGUUCUGCAGUUAGUGCUGCUGCUAAUACAGCAAAUAUAAAACAAGGGAAGCAGAUUCAUGCUAGGAUUAUAAAAAUGGGAUAUGAUACAGAAACUGAGGCAUCCAAUGUUUUAAUCACAUUGUAUGCAAAGUGUGGGAGCCUUGAUGAUGCCAAGAGAGAGUUUCUUGAAAUGCCUGAGAAAAAUGAAGUUUCUUGGAAUGCCAUGAUCACAGGCUAUUCUCAACACGGAUGUGGUAGGGAUGCGAUAGAACUCUUUGAGGAAAUGAAACGGCUUGCUGUGAUGCCAAACCAUGUCACAUUUGUCGGUGUUUUAUCAGCCUGUAGUCAUGUGGGAUUGGUAGAAAAGGGGCUCGGCUACUUCAAUUCCAUGAGCAAAGAACAUGGUCUUGUUCCAAAACCAGAACAUUAUGUUUGUGUUGUAGAUAUUCUUGGGCGGGCUGGCUUUCUGUGCCGUGCAAGAGAAUUUAUAAAGGCAAUGCCGAUUGAACCAGAUGCCAUGGUCUGGAGGACCCUCUUAAGUGCUUGCACGGUGCACAAGAACAUGGAAAUUGGAGAAUUCGCUGCCUGUCAUCUUCUUGAACUGGAACCUGAAGACUCAGCAACUUAUGUUCUCUUGUCGAAUAUGUAUGCAGUUACAGGGAAAUGGGACUGUAAGGAUCAGACGAGACAAAUGAUGAAAGACAGAGGUGUAAAGAAAGAGCCUGGUCGUAGUUGGAUUGAGGUUAAGAAUUUGAUUCAUGCAUUCUUUGUUGGCGACAGACUCCACCCUUUAGCAGAUAAGAUAUAUGAGUUCUUAGAGGAUCUGAACAAACGAGCAGCUGCAAUUGGUUAUGUACAGGAUCGUUCUAGCCUUUUGAAUGAUAUAGAGCAGGGGAAGAAGGACCCAACUGGGUACAUACACAGUGAAAAACUGGCUAUCGCUUUUGGACUCAUAAACUUGUCUAAUACAAUACCCAUACGUGUGAUUAAGAAUCUUCGUGUCUGUAAUGAUUGCCACAAUUGGAUUAAGUAUGUGUCAAAAAUCUCGAAUCGGGCUAUUGUAGUACGAGAUGCAUACCGCUUUCAUCAUUUUGAAGGUGGUACUUGUUCAUGUAAAGAUUUCUGGUAAUUUGAACUUCGAGGAUGUGAUCAUGGAGACAAAUGAAUCACUUGAGGGCUCCAGGGUUGAAAAUACCUCUUAGCCUCCAAGGACUGUUAUGGCCUCUCCCUUGGAUACUUGUUCAAUGUGAUUAUAACAAAAUCAUUUCUCUAAUAAUAAGGUGAAGGUAUCAAACAAACCAGUGAUGCAGCUUAAAUCUGGAUCUCUGUAGCAUCUGUAGUUAGAGGUCUUCCACGUAAACUCAUCCACUGAGGCAGACUCAGAGUUGCUCAAUUUCAGUUCAGAAUGUUCGCACUCAAUGUCUUAUUAACUGGAAUGGAAAAUGGAGUUUUCUUAUCAUUGCUUUGUUAAAUAUCAUAUACUUAAGUUCUCUUACCAACAUGUGGGGAGGUUUCAGACAGGAUCUCUGCUGAACGAUGUUAAUUUGUUGGCAAAGUUGAAGGGGGUUGAUGAAAGGUUUCUCAUAGAUGAGCUUCAUAGAAGGAAACAUCCUGUUCCCUGAAAACAAAGAUGCUAGUGAUACAGAGGAUGACGAUGCUGAUGAUCAGGACGUUGAUGAUGGAGGUGAUGAAGAUUUCACUGGCGGAGAAGGUGCUGGGGAUGAUGAUGAUGGAGAUCCCAAGGAUGAUCAAGAUGGUAAUGGUAAUGGGGUAAGUAAUGAUGAGGACGACGACGACAAUGGCGAUGAGCAUGAAGGUGAUGAGGAAGAGAAAAAGGAGGAAGAGGAAGUUGAAGAGGAUCGACAACCGGCUAAGAAGAGGAAGUGGAAGUAGUUGUAGGUCUUUCGGUAGUCUCUCUCUCUCUCUCUUCUUGGUUGGGAGUAUGUUGUUGGAUGUAGAAGGUUUAGCUUGUCUGUCUUCAUAGAAUAGGAAAUUCGACGUCCAUGCUUUGAAUGAAUCUCCGCCAUAUAUUAUGUUAAAAAUUUUCAUGAUAGAGGUUCCAUUUGGUGGAAUUAUAAAUUCCUAUUCUCGCUCCAUUAAAUCUAAGUUGCGAUUUUAAUGUGAGUUUUUUGAGAUACAAAAAAGAUUGGUUAAAUGGCAAUGUCUAUAUUUAUCAGUUUUUAUUGAAA